rnacentral:rRNA from 1 species
UGGGGAAUAUUGCACAAUGGGCGCAAGCCUGAUGCAGCCAUGCCGCGUGUAUGAAGAAGGCCUUCGGGUUGUAAAGUACUUUCAGCGAGGAGGAAGGCAUUAAGGUUAAUAACCUUAGUGAUUGACGUUACUCGCAGAAGAAGCACCGGCUAACUCCGUGCCAGCAGCCGCGGUAAUACGGAGUGGUGACAAGCUAGUUGAAUUCGGAAUUACUGGGCGUAAAGCGCACGCAGGCGGUCUGUCAAGUCGGAUGUGAAAUCCCCGGGCUCAACCUGGGAACUGCAUUCGAAACUGGCAGGCUAGAGUCUUGUAGAGGGGGUA